rnacentral:lncRNA from 1 species
UGAUCACCCCACACGAUGAUCUGCUAGUGCGAUAAUGUAAAGGUUUCAGCCAAUUUACCAGAGCGGACCACUUCUGAGGUCCGUAAAUUGGAGAGAUGUGAAUUUACUGCUUUAGGGCCGCAAUCUUGGCCUAAAGUAAUUCAGUAAAUAUUCAGAAGUUUCGACCGGCAAUCCACCAAGGGCAAAAUCGUCCAAUUUUUUCUACAGU